ACCUCAGUGGUCUCAAGUUACGCCAUCUCAACGCCAAUAAACAAUACCUUGAUAUGUUAUUUCCAUGAUUCUUAAGUAACCUCAGUGUAUGUAAAUCCCAUUUAAUUUUCUUUCAGAAUUAGUCUCUGCAAGGGUCGGUUUGUUAUUACAUUAUGAGGAUGCUUAGUAGGCUCUGUUGAAAACAAAGAAUUUACAGACCAACAAGACCAAAGGUGAAAGGUAAAGUGUAGGCUUACCAAUGUAAAAUUAUCUGCUCAUUGUCACCUAAUACGUUGCUGCCACAGCCAGGAACAUAGUCAAGGCCUCCCAGCUCUUAUUUCUGUGUUCUGCCUGCUAGAUCACAUCGCCCCUCAUGUUAGUAAGUUGAGAAAUGCCAAAUGUGUGGUGAGGCAGAGCCUUAGUCCCUAUUUUCAUAACAGGGUUCCUGGCCUUAGUAAUAAUUAAAGCUUUUUUAAUGCAUUUUUGUAACUCCUCUGACUUCAGGUGAUUUCUUUUUUAUUUACACAAGAUGGAUCAGGCCCAGGAUUAAUAGCUUUCCUCAGAGUGCUUGAGCACAGCAAUAUUUGCUUAUCACAAGGAGGAAUGAUUUCCCUGCCAUUACCCAGGUAAAUUUACUAUGAAUUUGCAGCAAGUUCUGCCCCAGUUUUCACCCUCUGAGAGACUCUCAGUGCUAGCCAUUAGAAACUUUAUAGGUAAGCUUCAGUUUCUUUUUGUAUAGCCAGAAUUUAACUUAACUCAAAAUGUCAGUGUGUUUGCCUUGAGGGAGAAUAGAAAGGAGAAUUAUCUAGUCCAUUUCAGGGAUUAGUCUUACUUGUGCUUUCUUUAUUGCUAUAUCUUCCAAGUUACAGGGCUGGAAGCCCAGAGGUUAAAUGGAUGAACGCUGGAUCAAAAGCAAGGUUUUUAGGAGCACAGUGAGCGAGGAUUUGUCAGGUGGACUGACUGAAAGCCAUGACAGACAGAAAAUGAAUACUGGAAAAGAUCCAAAGGGGGAAAAAUAUCUGUCAGUUCAGGAAAGAAACAGGUUAUGGAAAGGAGGCUGCUUUGCGCUGGGCUGCUUAAAACAAAAGCAAGGAAUUACCAGACUUUGGAAGCUGAAGGAAGCAAACAUGGAAGCUAAGAAGAGGGAAGAGAAGAAAAUGUCAUCAUUGCAGUGCCACUUAAAUAUGAUCUACAUGUCUGAACAACAGUGAAAUGACUGACUGCCAAGAAAGGGGAAACCAAUUGCCUGUCCAUAGAGACAAUACAGAUAUCUCUGGAGCUGUAUGUUAAACUUGUGAUGAAACAAACAGCAAAACCAGAGGCCUCGGUACUUGCCUCCUUUCUGUCUUUGGAAAUCAGUGGGAAUACAGAGCUGUAACUCUAAAUUACUAAUGAAGUGAGAUGGAUAUUUUUACAGAUGAGUUCUAACCCACAAGGUAAGUCAAAAUUCUUAUAAAUGGGAACAGUUGCUGCAUCAGUUCAUGGGGAUGUACGGUUUAAUUCCUCAAUUUGUACACAAACACUAAAUCAAUAGGAUUCCUGUGUAUCCAAAACUCACUCAAAUCAAUUAUCUCUACUGGGUGUUAGAUUAGACUAUUCCUGUGAGACAGAUUGUGUGUAUGUUGACUGAAACAAAAACCAUGGAUACUAUGAAAUGUACUUUGAAAUUGAAGAUAUCACAUAACUGAAGAAUAAGUUUACGUUAAAAAAAAAACAAGCUUAUUAAAAGAAUUGUCAUUAGCACUGUAUUGAUAAAGAUAACCUUUUCCAUUUGACUGGCAUCUGUCCACUUAUGCUUGCAUUGCUAUUCUAUCUGUUCCUAAAUCAUGUUGAUUUCUAUAUUUAUUCACAUGUCUAAAAGAUGACGUGAACAACUGGCGAUGAAGGACAGGUGACUAUUGUCAAGGCAACUGAAGGCAACUGAUUCAUUAGCUACCCCAAUUUGCCUCUCUUUGUGUCCUUUUAAGUAUUCCAUCCUCACUGAACUUAAACUCCCAUAAAGCAACACCACCAUCUACAGCUCAAAGAUCAGACUCUCCACCAUAAUUGCACCUCUCUGUCCUGAGCUCAAGCUAUGUCAGAUGUAAGAGUACCAGAUUUCUUCUGUUGAAAAUAUUCAAUAUCACUUUAAUUUUCAUUAUCCAAAAUUAGAGGUUGGUUUAAAAACAGAAACAAACAAACAAAAACCAAACAAAGAAAAUGAAACACUUCAAUGCAACUUGUUUAAAAGAAAGAUUCUUCUCUGCGUCUUCAUCCUGCACUCUGACUUCUGCAGUACAGUACUACCCAUGAUAACAUAGAAUUACAGAAGAGAUAGGAUUGGAAAGGACAAUGAGAUCACAUAGUUCCAACCCCCCUGCCCCGAGCAGGGACAUCUCCCACUAGACCAGGUUCCUCAAGGUCCCGUCUAACCCGGCUUUGAACACUUCCAGGGAUGGGGCAUCCAAAACUUUUCUGAGCAACCGGUUCCAGUGUCUCACCACCCUCAGAAAAGCACUAUCAGAAAGACAUGAAAUGCCUUUCUGUGGUGCAUAGUAAGCAGAAAGUUUUAGUUCCAGGGCAAUGCAAAUUCCUCAGAAAUUGGUGCUUCUGUAUUUCAGUGGAAAAAAAAACCACCUUUGUUGGAAGUUGUAACUCAUUAGGUGCAUGUUACUGGGAGAGACUUCUUUUUCUACUACUAGGAACAGAAACCACAGAAUAAAGAUUGUUUUACCACUAUCAUUUUCCAGUGAUUAUUUCUUACUUUUUUUUUGUGCCAUGUUGCCAACCACACUGUGGCUUUGGCAGGCUAAAAGGGAUACCUCCUCUCAGUUUCACAAAGGUAGUUACCAGGCUGCAUUGCACAGCUGAGGGAACUAUGGUCUCCACAGUGGCAGUGAUAAAGCUAAAAUCUUGUUACUUGCAGAUAAUAGGAGGUGAAGGGAAGUGAGAGACUCCACAAAUGCAAUUCUGUCCCACAGCCUUUACCCCUGCCUCCCCAAAGUAGUAAAGCCAAUUUGUUGGUGGCUUUUGACUCCUUGUCUGCCCUAGAAGGCUCUGUUAGUGCUUUUUGU